CUUGGUUAGAAAGGCACUCCCUACCGCCCCGCCUCCGGAAAACCGGUAUUAGAUCUGCUUCGCACUAUCCAUUAAAAUGCUCGCUUUUUUUUAUCUAUUCCUAAGUUUCCAUGAGCUUGACUAAUGUAAGUCUUCCUGACAAAUUAGGUUUCUGGGUCAGUAAGCUGUCUUAGUAUGUUUGGGCGGCAGACUGGGUGGCUUAUAAACAACAAACUUCUCACAGUUCAGGAGUCUGGGAAGUCCAAGAUCAAGGCUCCAGCAGGUUUGUUGUCUGAGAGGCUCUUUUCUCCUAGGACUGACUUUGAAACUGUGUGAGGAGCUGCCAGAUGCCAUUCUGUCAUCACUUGGACGGUGCCUUAUAAACACCUCUCAACUAACCAGCAAAGAGCGACUUGGUUUAUUGAUGGUGGUUGUAAGGUAAAUGGACAACAUCCUCUUUGAAGGCCACUACUCUGAUCCAAGAAGAAAUUGUGCAGACUAAUUCAAGGAUGGAAAAUGCAUAGCACUUGUGCUACCACUCUACCUGCACAUCCCUGUGGCACAUAUUGACAGUUGAUAGCAAACUCAUUCUCAUUCAGCCUGAACUCAGCCUCCGAUUCCUUCUUAACACAGAAUUCCAGGCAUUCACUAUCAAUCAGUUGUAGUUGUCACAAAGUGGACAUAUUUGAAAUAAAUGCUUUUAGGAAAAAUGUCACAGAAUAAUAUGGUUCUAGAGUUGGUGAAUAAGGAAGAAAUUUUUGUCUCUCUCUGCAAAAUAAAAAUAUCUUUUGGGAAUUGUUCUAAGGUAAUUAGUUGUGUGAAGUCGAUUAUGUUUAUAGUCUUAAAAAGUAUAUUUUCCUAUGCUUUUUUUACCUUAAAAUCCAAAUUAUCAAAGUAGAUUCAUUUCUUUUUUCUUUUUUAAAUUGGCACCUGAGCUAACAACUGUUGCCCAUCUUCUUUUUUUUUUCCCUGCUUUUUU
rnacentral:lncRNA from 1 species